CCCAGUAAACGGCGGCCGUAACUAUAACGGUCCUAAGGUAGCGAAAUUCCUUGUCGGGUAAGUUCCGACCCGCACGAAAGGCGUAAUGAUUUGAGCGCUGUCUCGACAAUGCAUCCGGUGAAAUUGAAGUACCAGUGAAGAUGCUGGUUACCUGCGCCAGGACGGAAAGACCCCAUGGAGCUUUACUCCAGUCUGGUACUGGGACUCGGUAUUGCAUGUACAGGAUAGGUGGGAGGCUAGGAGAUGGUAACGCCAGUUGCCAUGGAGCCGCUGUUGGGAUACCACCCUUGCAGUAUUGGGUUUCUAACCAGCCGCCGUGACCCGGCGGUGGGACAAUGCCAGACGGGGAGUUUGACUGGGGCGGUCGCCUCCGAAAGGGUAUCGGAGGCGCCCAAAGGUUCCCUCAGAAUGGACGGAAACCAUUCGAAGAGUGCAAAGGCAGAAGGGAGCUUGACUGCGACACCGACGGGUGGAGCAGGUACGAAAGUAGGACUUAGUGAUCCGGUGGUAUAAAGUGGGAUUGCCAUCGCUCAACGGAUAAAAGCUACCCUGGGGAUAACAGGCUUAUCACUCCCAAGAGUUCACAUCGACGGAGUGGUUUGGCACCUCGAUGUCGGCUCAUCGCAUCCUGGGGCUGUAGUAGGUCCCAAGGGUUGGGCUGUUCGCCCAUUAAAGCGGUACGCGAGCUGGGUUCAGAACGUCGUGAGACAGUUCGGUCCCUAUCCGGCGUGGGCGUAGGAUAUCUGAGAGGAGCUGUCCUUAGUACGAGAGGACCGGGAUGGACGGGCCGCUGGUGCAUCGGUUAGACUGCCAAGUCUACGGCCGAGUAGCCAAGCCCGGAAGGGAUAAACGCUGAAGGCAUCUAAGCGUGAAGCCCCCCUUAAGAUGAGAUAUCCCAUUCGAAAGAAGUAAACCCCCUUGAAGACGACGAGGUAGAUAGGGCAGAGGUGGAAGUGCAGCAAUGCAUGGAGCUGACUGUUACUAAUCGGGUGAGGGCUUGACCAA
rnacentral:rRNA from 1 species